rnacentral:lncRNA from 1 species
AUUUAUCAAAAUGAUAACACCCAAUUUUUUAAAUGUUAGGCACAAUAUAUUAAAAUAAUAUGCUUCACAUUUGGUUUUACCACAAAAUCCAAAUUUAACAAGACCUUUUCCUUCACAUAUCGUAUCAGAUUUUUAUCGUUACGCCUAAGAGAAAUAAAGUGUCAGUAAACACAUACCCCCCCCCAAAAAAAGGGGAAUUAGCAACCUUGAACUGUUUCGAUCAAGAUACCAUGUUUCGUUGCCAGGCGAUAUCGUUUUUCAGACUUUUUGUGAACAAUUACACCAAAUUCCAGCUUCCUCUAAAAUUUUGUUAUAUUUGUUAAUCCUUAGUUCUGCCUGUUUUUAUAUACAUUUAGAUGCGCAAGUUCUCUCAGUAUGAAUUUCUCGUUCAUUUGAACAAAAACAAAAACACAAAAAUAGAAUUUAAAAAAAAAAGAUGUUCCAUAAUCUUUUAAAUUAUUUAUUUGACAUGUACCACAAAUAACAUGCUCUGUAGAUGUACAAAUAAUACACGAAUACUCAUUUGAACCCGGCUUUUAAUAAACAUUACAAACAGUACAUGUAAAGUUAGCGCUAUGAACAUGAUGAAGGGAAUGUUGAUAUCAUUAAUUUUGAAGUCUUCAACUUUAUCUCGAAACCCUCUGUUGGUUAUAUCUUUAAGAUCAUCCUGUGUUUAAAAGCAAUAUUAUUUCAUCUGGCAAAGGAGCAUGAAAGAAAAAAAUGAUAAUUUGUCUAUAUUCAUUAUUUUUAUCAAACAAAGG